UCGUCAUAAACUAACAACCGCAAUUGGUUCCGACUGACUAGUUGUAAGUCGAUUUGGUUGUAAGUCAGCCUAUAGGCCUAUACAUAGCUUUGUUUUAUAUUUUUACAUUCUUAAGGUACAUUCUCAGGUAAAAGUCACAUACAGCAUUCUGUAUUAUUCUAUUAUACUGGUGUUAGUAAAAAAUUUCGGAGUCCCAAGCAGUCAUCUUGUAAACAAAUACAAGGUUGCCUCGAUUUCUCAUCCAACACAUGGAAUAACCACAGUGGCAAUCGAUAACCAAAUCUAUGGGAAGUGUUUGUUAGCUGACAUCAUCCGUUGAGUUAAUUUCUAAGAAAUUAAAGCCGUUAGAUUUCAACUGGACUAUAUAUUAUUGCUGCUGGGAGCUGGCACGCCAAUUGUUGUAAAGUUGACUGGUCAUAAGUUGCAUAGGUCUUAAGUCAAUGAUGACCUGUAUGUGUAUACAUAUAUAUAUAUAUAAAUGUGUGCAUGUGUGUCUGUUUUUUUGUGUCUCUCUUUACUGCUUGGUAUAUUAUAUAUAUGUAUGUAUAUAUGUAUGUAUGCCUGUAUAUAUGUGAGAUAACAGUUUCACUUUAAUAGUUUCAGUAUUAAAGUGAAACUAUUAAAGUGAAAAUAUCUGACAUUACAAUAGAGAGAUGUUAUUGUUUCACUUUUGACACGUAAUACUGAAAUAGUGGAGGAGAUAUGAUAUUGCUCUGGGCUCACACUAGGCAAGAAGUUAAAAAAUUUUUUUGGGCCUAUGACACUACAUGGACCCUAAGUAAGGCAUGUGUAAAAUUUGAAUGAAAUUGGUUCUGUAGUUCUCAAGGUUUAGGGAUUCAGACAGACACAUACUCAUCUUUAUAUAUAUAAAUGAUCAAGAAUAUAUUUUACAAAAGAAAAACAAGAAAAAAAGGGAGACAGAAAAGACAACAAUGCAGCACCAAGUGCUUCAGUUGGUCACACACCACAAGGUUCAAUGGAACCUACCUAAGCAAGCCAACAUACUCAUGGGUGAGGCUAAGGCAUUGGAAAAGUCAAGCACCCUCAUGGGCAUCACCUGCAGCUUUGAUGAAGUGAGCUACCACCAAUGACAAGAAUUUCGCGGUUAGUGACCCAGUAACUCCAAAUUUCUCAAAUGCCAUCGGCUGGAAGAUAUAGUUCAUCAUCAGGUCCUGAAACUUCAAGGUUUUGAUCUGUUUGGGUACGGAAGUAGUGACCCUCCCAUUUACUGUACCAUCCAGAAUGGUGGGGGGGGGGGGGAGAAAAAGAGUCACAUACGCCAUAGAAACCGGGCCCAUGAGCCUGACUAGGCUUUGAAAGGGCGACGUUUAUCGUUUUAUUUUCUGUUUAAUAAUAUCCAAAACAUGUAUCUAGCUAACUGAUCUAAGGGGAAUAACUCAAUAGCUUAGAUAUAACUUAUACUCCUUUUUGCCUCACUGCACACGACAGCAAGUAGGCAUGUCUAAAAUGGUUGCUUUAAAGAUUGUUCGUAUGUGUUUUGGUCAUGAGAAACUUUUGGUUUGCUCAACACUGAGAAGAUAAGAUGUAAAAACACCCUUUAUCAUCUGCGAACAUUUUUACUCCAUGAUAAACUGUAGUGAAACUUCCUUUAGAAGAAGAACAGAAUGGACUAUGUGAAGCAGGUGCACACACGAGGAUGGGAAGUGUCGCUGAAGAAGUCACAGAUGUGUAACGAAAGAUUUCCGGACAAUGGACAAGAGUUAAAAUAACAGUAAUAAACGAGUGAAGAACGAA